UCGAGGGGCAGCGGGGAGGUAGCAAUACCUUUGCCGGCGACCGGCGCACGGGUGAGUAACACGUAUGCAAUCCACCUGUAACAGGGGGAUAACCCGGAGAAAUCCGGACUAAUACCCCAUAAUAUGGGCUCUCCGCAUGGAGGGUUCAUUAAAGAGAGCAAUUUUGGUUACAGACGAGCAUGCGCUCCAUUAGCCAGUUGGCGGGGUAACGGCCCACCAAAGCGACGAUGGAUAGGGGUUCUGAGAGGAAGGUCCCCCACAUUGGAACUGAGACACGGUCCAAACUCCUACGGGAGGCAGCAGUGAGGAAUAUUGGUCAAUGGUCGGCAGACUGAACCAGCCAAGUCGCGUGAGGGAAGACGGCCCUACGGGUUGUAAACCUCUUUUGUCGGAGAGUAAAGUACGCUACGUGUAGCGUAUUGCAAGUAUCCGAAGAAAAAGCAUCGG
rnacentral:rRNA from 1 species